rnacentral:rRNA from 1 species
ACUCCUGCGGGAGGCAGCAGUGGGGAAUUUUGGACAAUGGGCGAAAGCCUGAUCCAGCAAUGCCGCGUGAGUGAAGAAGGCAUUCGGGUUGUAAAGCUCUUUUGUCAGGGAAGAAACGGUGAAAGCUAAUAUCUUUUGCUAAUGACGGUACCUGAAGAAUAAGCACCGGCUAACUACGUGCCAGCAGCCGCGGUAAUACGUAGGGUGCAAGCGUUAAUCGGAAUUACUGGGCGUAAAGCGUGCGCAGGCGGUUUUGUAAGUCUGAUGUGAAAUCCCCGGGCUCAACCUGGGAAUUGCAUUGGAGACUGCAAGGCUAGAAUCUGGCAGAGGGGGGUAGAAUUCCACGUGUAGCAGUGAAAUGCGUAGAUAUGUGGAGGAACACCGAUGGCGAAGGCAGCCCCCUGGGUCAAGAUUGACGCUCAUGCACGAAAGCGUGGGGAGCAAACAGGAUUAGAUACCCGGGUAGUCCCAUGAU